rnacentral:rRNA from 1 species
UACAGAGGGGGCAAGCGUUUAUUCGGAAUUAUUGGGCGUAAAGGGCGCGUAGGCGGCUUUGCAAGUGACGGGUGAAAUCCCUCGGCUUAACCGAGGAACUGCCUGUCAAACUGCAUGGCUUGAGACCGGGAGAGGUGAGUGGAAUUCCCCAGUGUAGCGGUGAAAUGCGUAGAUAUUGGGAGGAACACCAGUGGCGAAGGCGGCUCUCUGGGACGGCACUGACGCUGAGGCGCGAAAGCUAGGGGAGCGAACAGG